rnacentral:rRNA from 1 species
UACGUAGGGUGCGAGCGUUAAUCGGAAUUACUGGGCGUAAAGCGUGCGUAGGCGGUUCGUUAAGUUCGUUGUGAAGGCCCCGGGCUCAACCUGGGAACUGCAAUGGAAACUGGCGGGCUUGAGUAUGGCAGAGGGGGGUGGAAUUCCGCGUGUAGCAGUGAAAUGCGUAGAGAUGCGGAGGAACACCGAUGGCGAAGGCAGCCCCCUGGGCCAAUACUGACGCUCAGGCACGAAAGCGUGGGGAGCAAACAGG